UGUGUGUGGCUUCUUCUGGGGAAACUCCCGCCCUACCUGAACAAAAUGCUCUGCUCGGCUGUUCCCACCUCCUAUAACCUCUGAUCCAGUACCAGCACUUUAUUUAGUCUACCUCAAUACAAAAAGAAAGCAGCCCGAUCCUCCUUAUCCUACAGAGCGCCGCAAUUUUGGAACGACCUCCCGCACUCUUUAAAAUCUUCCCUAAGCCUAAAGUCC
rnacentral:lncRNA from 1 species